CCUUACUAUAAGUGUUGUCUAGAGGUCUGGUGCCAGAAGACUCGGUAAGACCAGAAACGCAAACGUUAGUCAUCUUAAUCAGGCGUAAAGGGUAUGUAGGCAGCUUUGAAAAUUUUAAUUUUAAAAAUUUUUUUUUUCUUUUCUAGAAAAAAGAGUAGCUCUAUUUUGUACAUAAAUUAAAUAGUAAAAAUAAAAUCAAUUAAAGCUAGAAUCUAAUAGAGGAAAAACCAAAUAAUACUUAGAGUAGGGAUGAUAUCCAAAGAUACUAAGUAGAAUA
rnacentral:rRNA from 1 species